rnacentral:rRNA from 1 species
AGAGUUUGAUCCUGGCUCAGAUUGAACGCUGGCGGCAGGCCUAACACAUGCAAGUCGAGCGGAAACGAGUUAUCUGAACCUUCGGGGGACGAUAACGGCGUCGAGCGGCGGACGGGUGAGUAAUGCCUAGGAAAUUGCCCUGAUGUGGGGGAUAACCAUUGGAAACGAUGGCUAAUACCGCAUAACACCUACGGGUCAAAGAGGGGGACCUUCGGGCCUCUCGCGUCAGGAUAUGCCUAGGUGGGAUUAGCUAGUUGGUGAGGUAAUGGCUCACCAAGGCGACGAUCCCUAGCUGGUCUGAGAGGAUGAUCAGCCACACUGGAACUGAGACACGGUCCAGACUCCUACGGGAGGCAGCAGUGGGGAAUAUUGCACAAUGGGCGCAAGCCUGAUGCAGCCAUGCCGCGUGUGUGAAGAAGGCCUUCGGGUUGUAAAGCACUUUCAGUCGUGAGGAAGGUAGUGUAGUUAAUAGCUGCAUUAUUUGACGUUAGCGACAGAAGAAGCACCGGCUAACUCCGUGCCAGCAGCCGCGGUAAU